rnacentral:tRNA from 1 species
GCGGAUGUAGCUCAGUUGGUAGAGCAUCACCUUGCCAAGGUGAAUGUCGCGGGUUCGAGUCUCGUCAUCCGCU